UACAGAGGGUGCAAGCGUUAUUCGGAAUUAUUGGGCGUAAAGAGCACGUAGGUGGCUACGCAAGUCUAAUGUGAAAUCCCUGGACUCAAUCCAGGAAGUGCAUCGGAUACUGCGUGGCUAGAGGAUAGGAGAGGAGAGCGGAAUUCCUGGUGUAGAGGUGAAAUUCGUAGAUAUCAGGAGGGACAACAGAAGCGAAGGCGGCUCUCUGGACUAUAACUGACACUGAGGUGCGAAAGCGUGGGGAGCAAACAGG
rnacentral:rRNA from 1 species